UCUUUUUUUUUCUGCUUUUAUUUUUUUUUUAGGAAAGUUUUCUAGUUUUUUAAAUUUUACCUUUUGUAUUAGGGAGGAAAGAUUUUUUAUUAUUUUUUUUUCUCGAAUUUUAUUAGAUCUAUGUUUUUAUAUUUUUUUGUAGAAUUACUUUAAAUUUCAUGGAUGUUAUAUGCUGGCGAUUUAUUUUUUCUAGUUAAAAGUUUUAUGGGGGGUUGAGCUUUCAUUUUUUCUUGUUGUUUUUUUAGUUUAUUUUAUUAUUAUCAGUUUUUUGGAUGUGUUUGAACAAUUUAUUUGUUUUUUUCUUUUUUUGGUGUUUUUAUCUUCCUUUAUUGAUUUCUUUUAUGAUUUUUUUAUUAGUAGAUUUGUUUUUGUUUUGUAUUUAUGUUUUUUUGUUUGAGAUUAUUUUAAUUUGAAAUUGAUUUUUUAUUAAAUGUUUAUCAAAAUCUUUUCUAAAGAUUUCUUUAGUUUUCUCUGCCCCAUGAUUUUUAAUGGCCAUGGUAAUUUGACUAUGCUAAGGUAGCGAAAUCAUUAGUAUUUUAAUUGGGUUCUAGUAUGAAUGAGAGUUUAAUAGAAAGUUUUUAUUUUUAUUAUUUUUGAAUUUGUUUUUUGAUUGAAAAAUUCUCGAGGAAUUUUAAAAGACUAAAAGACCCUUAGAUUUUUAUUUAUUUUUUAGUUUUUUAGAUUUUUAAUUAUUUUAUUCUGAAAGUUGAAUUUAUUUGGGGUAAAUUUGUAUUUUAAUAUAUAUUUUUUUGUUUUUUUAUCUUCUUUUUUGUUUUAUGUUAAAAUACCUAAGGGAUAACAGCAUAAUUCUUUUAUGAAGUUCUUAUUUAUAAGUGAUUUUGUGACCUCGAUGUUGGUUUGUUCUUUCUUUUUGAAGCAGAAGAUAAAAUAGAUAGUCUGUUCGACUAUUAAAUGAACACAUGAACUGAGUUCAAGUCGGUGUGAGCCAGACUGGAUUUUAUCUUUAAAUUUUUGCUAUUUUUUUAGUACGAGAGGAAUAAUUAAUUUUCUUUUAG
rnacentral:rRNA from 1 species